rnacentral:rRNA from 1 species
CCUACGGGAGGCAGCAGUGGGGAAUAUUGGGCAAUGGAGGAAACUCUGAUCCAGCAACGCCGCGUGAAUGAUGAAGGUCUUCGGAUUGUAAAGUUCUUUUCUAAGGGAAGAAGAAAGUGACGGUACCUUAGGAAUAAGCCUCGGCUAACUACGUGCCAGCAGCCGCGGUAAUACGUAGGGGGCGAGCUUUAUCCGGAAUGACUGGGGGUAAAGGGUGAGUAGGUGGUUUGGCAAGUUAGUAGCGUAACUCCGAGGCCCAACCUUGGGACUACUUCUAAAACUGGUGGGCUUGAGUGCAGGAGGGGCAGGCGGAAUUUCUAGUGUAGCGGUGGAAUGCGUAGAUAUUAGGAGGAACACCAGUGGCGAAGGCGGGUUGCUAGACUGUAACUGACGCUGAGGCACGAAAGCGUGGGGAGCAAACAGGAUUAGAUACCCUUGUAGUC